rnacentral:rRNA from 1 species
UACAGAGGUGGCAAGCGUUGUUCGGAAUUACUGGGCGUAAAGCGUGCGCAGGCGGUUAUGUAAGACAGUUGUGAAAUCCCCGGGCUCAACCUGGGAAUUGCAUCUGUGACUGCAUAGCUAGAGUACGGUAGAGGGGGAUGGAAUUCCGCGUGUAGCAGUGAAAUGCGUAGAUAUGCGGAGGAACACCGAUGGCGAAGGCAAUCCCCUGGACCUGUACUGACGCUCAUGCACGAAAGCGUGGGGAGCAAACAGG